AAGUCGUAACAAGGUUUCCGUAGGUGAACCUGCGGAAGGAUCAUUACCGAGCGCUCGAGCGCGUCCCCUCCCCGGAGGGGUGCGUUCAGCUCCGCCCUCUGUGUACGAGCCUCGUUGCUUCGGCUGCGGUCGUUCGCGUUUGCGGCGGCCUGCCGCCGGAGGAUCAAGACCCUUUUGAACCUGUGGCGUCUGAGCAUGUCGUUCGAUGCGAACGUUUUAAAAAUAUCAAAACUUUCAACAACGGAUCUCUUGGCUCUG
rnacentral:misc_RNA from 1 species